rnacentral:rRNA from 1 species
UACGUAGGGGGCUAGCGUUGUCCGGAAUCAUUGGGCGUAAAGCGCGCGUAGGCGGUCAGGUAAGUCCGCUGUGAAAGUCGGGGGCUCAACCCUCGGAUGCCGGUGGAUACUGUCGGGCUUGAGUACGGAAGAGGCGAGUGGAAUUCCCGGUGUAGUGGUGGAAUGCGUAGAUAUCGGGAGGAACACCAGUGGCGAAGGCGGUUGCCUGGAGCUUUGCUGACGCUGAUGCGCGAAAGCGUGGGGAGCGAUCCGG